rnacentral:rRNA from 1 species
ACGGAAGGCAGCAGUGGGGAAUAUUGGGCAAUGGGCGAAAGCCUGACCCAGCAACGCCGCGUGAAGGAAGAAGGUUUUCGGAUUGUAAACUUCUUUUAUCAGGGACGAAGAAAGUGACGGUACCUGAUGAAUAAGCCACGGCUAACUACGUGCCAGCAGCCGCGGUAAUACGUAGGUGGCAAGCGUUAUCCGGAUUUACUGGGUGUAAAGGGCGCGUAGGCGGGGAUGCAAGUCAGGUGUGAAAUCUAUGGGCUUAACCCAUAAACUGCAUUUGAAACUGCAUCUCUUGAGUAUCGGAGAGGUAGACGGAAUUCCUAGUGUAGCGGUGAAAUGCGUAGAUAUUAGGAGGAAUACCAGUGGCGAAGGCGGUCUACUGGACGAUAACUGACGCUGAGGCGCGAAAGCGUGGAGAGCAAACAGGAUUAGAUACCCUGGUA